CAGCAGCAGCCAGCCGCGCCGUACGGACCGCCUCAGCUAAGGACAUUAUGUCUCGCCGUGGAGGUGACACUGUCUGGCGCUGCCCGACGAGCAAGGCGAUCUUCUGCUGUCUUCUCGUUGUGGCGAUAGUCCUGGUCGCCGCUCUCUGGCUCCAAUACCGUGGCGGGCAGGGGAUGCCCGGGCGACCGGCGGGGCUCCCGGCCGAAGACGGCC